CGUUAAGUGUCUGAGGUGUAAGUGGUGGUCUCUUAAACCAUAAACGGUGUUUAACCCUUAACGA
rnacentral:tRNA from 1 species